GCAUAUGGUUCUUGAUGUUUAGCCAAUAUACUAUAGGAUUUUAAGCAUCAUGCCCAUGUGCAUUGUGGUUUUUUAUCAGCUAUAUGGUUUACCAAACUGAGGGAUUGAUUAUAGUCAUAAGUACCCUUUUCCCAUUAAUUUCUUGCAUGUGCUUUGCUGAGAUUAUGUUUUUGACAGUGCUAAUCAGGGCAAACCAACAAACAGCUUUAUGUUAACUUUUACAAACUGCCACAUUUUCAGGUUGAACGAUCAGACAUAAAUCUUGGUGAAACUAGAAGUAAUACAACCUGUGCUGUGGAGAUAAAAGAAAGGGCAGCAGCACUGGUGGCUGCAGAAAUUGAGGCAUGUAGAGACAAUAGAACCCCCGAGAUACCUCUGCAUAAGAAAGUCCAGAAAGAGUGGGCUUGUGCUGUAUGCCAGUUCACAACCCAAAGUGAAGUGACCUUCAAUUCCCACCUUCAAGGGAAGAGACAUCAGGCCACUUCUGAGCAGUUGAGAGCCAAAAACCAGGCAACCAAAACCAAUUGUUCCCCAUCUGCUUCAAAGGCCAAGAAAUCUGAUCAGUCCACCAAAGAGGAGCAACCAAAGUGUCCUUCCAACAAUCUGAAUUCCAAAAACAAUGGAAUCUCAGCUGCUUCAACAGUGAAGAAACCUGACGAGACCAAAGAUGAUGAGCAACAAAAGUGUGCAUCCAGCAAUGGACCAAACCAGAAGAAUAACAAAAAGCAAGAGGAGAAGGUGCUAGUUCUUGAGACCAAUGAGCAAGGCCAUCAGAAUAAUUUUGAUCCACGAUCCCACAUUUAUUUUGGGUCUCACAAGUUUCAAAUUUGCAGAAAAAUGAAAGAUGUUUGAGAGAAAAUUAAAUCAUAUUGCACUACUGUUAGGAAAAAUAUGGCUGAAUCCAAUUGCUUUUCUUCUCCAAGUCUAUUAAAAAUAUAAUUUUUUCUCCAUUCCUGACAAAAUUUAAAUUUUUUCCUUAAAAAAAAAAAAAUUAAGUUUGAUCACCUAACACAUCUUUCUAAACUCAAUCUCAACUUGAAAAAUCAAACCUUAAUGGAUGGACUAUAGAAAUAGUGAGAAAACACUUCUGGGGUUUUUUUUUUCUUCCAACAUCAAAUUUUUCUAUAUAUGGGAUUUCACAUGCAAAAGCAGGAGUAGAUUUGCUUGUGUUUGAUGUAUGUAUUAGAAAAAUUUGUCCCUUCUGGGAUGUUUAAUACUUUUCUAUUCUUUUAUAUGCAUGUUUAGCUAGAAGAUAUAGAAUCGAUACCAUUCCUUAAAAGUGAUAGCCACAACUGUGAUAAUUAAACACCAAAGAAUGUGAAGAUCUAUAUAUUCUUUUUUUUUUCCUCUCUCUUUCAAUAAUGAAGCUAAGAUGUGUUGUAAGCAUCAAAUGCAUUGUCUCUGCUUGAAUAUAUACAAAGCCAAGGACCACAAGAUGGAUAGAUAUGGGGACGCACAAAACUUCUCAAACAUGAUUAUAUUAAUCAAGAAUUCAACUAAGCUUAAAUUCAAGAUGUUGAUUUCUAGCAUCUCUGGUGCUAUAGGAUGACUAUUGAUCCUGUACUGUUAUGUGCCCUACUGAUAUAUUCUUCGGGUUGUUAUGUAUAAAUAAAAUUUUUGGGAAAGUUUGCUUGGUGGUUACACUAUCACUAUUUAGGCCAGUAAAAAUUGGAAGCCUUUGUAAAAAACUGAUGGUCCAAGAGCUAUUCUACUUCAUCAUCCAUGUAAUAUGACGAUACAAAUUUGACUAAAUGCAGCUAUAGAAGGCUUAGGACCAUAAACCAAGCCUAGUCGAUGUCACUCACCUAAAUUUAUGCAUAAAGCUUUUGGAUGGCUCAGAGUUAUAUUUAAUUACUGUUAUGUUCGCAACUAUAUUUUCAUUGGAUUUAUAGUCCAGCUUGAGAACUAGUCCUCCAUUGCACAUAAUGUCCACACAAGGCCACAGUGCCCGCUCAAAGGCCAUAGCGCUACUCAAGGAUAUAGUGCUUACUCAAGGCCAUAGAGCCCACCUAAGGCUAACGACCCAAAAGGAGAAAAAGGUUGGUUCCACGUACUCUAAUAUUUACUAGAAAAGGUUCUUCCUAUUAAAGAACAAAAAAUUGCAUUCCCUUGUGACCAAUCCAAACAGUAGACCACUGACUUGUAUAAGGCAUUAUUCACCAUGCAAGCACUUUUUCAGCAACCUACCAUCUGGCAUGAACCAUUUUGGAUUGAUUCACAAAGCAAUGGUGUUAUAUUAAGCAUAUUCAAUAUAGAACCAAAUUGUGCCUCCUUAGAUUAACUAAAAUAUUUCCAUUGCAAGAUGUGCAGAUAGGCAUAUGAUCAUGAAGUAAUUUCCUGAUGAUAAUACCCCACAAAAUAUUUCUUUUUCUCACUGAUCUCUCCUAGAUUUUCAGUUCACCCAUCCAUGGCGCCUGACUAAAAAUGGGGGCAUUUUGGAUACCCCGAGCAGUAAGUUAGCCUGGUAGGCAUCCCGUUGCAAGCAAAGUCAACCCGAGCGGUCCAUUUGACCAAAGCUUAUCCAGGCAGUAAGCGUCCAUAUACAGCUAACUGUUAUGCACCAUCAACAGGUUGAGGUUACAAGAUUAAAGAGUCAUAAUGGCCAAAUGGAAGUUACACGACUCGGCCUAUAUAAUAACAGUAUGACAAAAAAUGCAGGUAUGAAGAACUAUCACUGAAAAAAUUUAUUCCUAAAAAUCCUUUAAGCUCCUUUAAGCUAACUUGGGCAUUGGAGAGGUCUCUCCGAAGCACACUCGAGCUUACCUUUUUGUAAGACAUCGAGAACAAGAGGCAUUGAAGUGAUUGUCCGGAGGGUUGAACUUGGUCGGGAACCAACAAUACACACUAUUCAAAAAUAGGGAUCAUAUUAAAUUAUUAAUGCAACCAUAGGAAGCAAUUGAGGACAAGGGUGUUAUUUGAUUAAAAGGGUAAUUGAAAACCUAAAUUUUGAAAUUUAACCCUCCAUUCUAUUUGGCCUUAUGUGAACAAAAAUGCCUUCAUUAUUUUCUUGUAAAAAUAACUCACCCAUUUAAACCUUACAUGAAAAUACUUAAAAUGGUAAAUGAUAUGUUAAAAAUUGAUUAUUUUUCAAAUAAAACAUAAGAAGGGUCAAAUUCAUGAAAGGAUUAUUUCAUCCCUUUUAAUCAAUUAAUUCGAUUUAUUUCUUUUUAUUUUUUUUCUCUCCAUGUUAAUUUUCACAUCACCCAACAACACCACUCUUAAUUCACACAAGUUUGAAGUUUUUGAAUGAGAUAUAUUCGUAAUUAUAUUGUAAUUGUGUUAUAAUAACCAUUUCGUACUUGGAUUUGUUCUUUCAGUCCAUUUAACCUUUUUGUUUAUUCAUGUCAAAACAAUGUACUUAUAAUCGAAUCCAUUUAUGACAUGUUGAUCUUAUAUAAAUUUAUUAAUUUUAUAUAUUUAAAAAUUAUAAAAAUUAAAUAUACUUUUUCAAUUAUGAAUAUCAUAUUACUAAAAUAUUAAAUAACAAAUUAACUUGAAAUGCUAUAUAUUUCAUUAAUUAUUUUAUAAUUAAAACAUUAAAUGAAAUAAUAAACAAGUAUAAAAUAGAAAAUUCUAUCUUAGUUAGAAAUUAUAAACUGUUAUUGAGACAUAUAAGUAUUAAAAUUCUACCCAUUUCACUACCAAACAACUUAUGUUUUUAGUCAUAAUUUAACCUUAUGAUGAACACUUAAAUAAAAUUUGUCAUCUUUUUCUAUUGAUUUAUAUUUAUUUAUUUAAAAAUUUUGUCUGGCAUAAACUAUCAUCUCACAAAAUCAUCAUUGAUGAGUAGGCUAUGCCCCAGUGUAAGCAUCUCCAAAUCAAACAUCAAUGAGAGGAGUACAACCAAUCAUACAUCAUCUUAUCAAAAUGAAUCUCCGCUUUUCAAAGUCAUCGUGGUAACGUGAAGAGAGUAUUUGACCUCCUCUAAAGAAAAAACAUGUCUUGAUGUGAAAAAGAUCAAGCAAAGUGGUAUGCCUCAACAAAAAUGUGCUCAAACAUGAUCAUGCCCCGAUGUAAGUUAGUAUCUCUAAGAUCAAUCGCCAAUGAAAAGGUUAUUCCCCAGUAUAGGGCAAACUCUGAAAUGACUAAACUCCGUUGCAAGCUCUCAUAAGUGUCUGUGUCAUGAUCCAAUCAUCGCAAAAAUUUGUCAACAAUGAUGAGAAGGCUAUGCUCCUAUAAUCACAUCAAAGAAAUCACUCGGUCAUAUUACUCCAAUGUGAAAGAAAUCUAAUCACCUCCAAGGAACAGCUAUGCCUCAAAACCAUCAUCGACUGAGAGGGGGAUGCCCCUGAUCCAAUCACCACCCUAACUAACGUACCCAUCAUGAGGAACACUUGUUUGAGCUCCAUAAUGGGGAUCAACCAUUAGAUGAACAAGAUUCGAAUAUUACUUGCUCCCCAUUUCAACCAAUGAAUGAUGUACCUGGAAACCUUGUAGACAACCAUAGUUUUCAGCCUUCUUCCUCGCGAUCAUCUAGAACAGAGUCGGUAAGCUUCACUCAUUUCUUAUAAUGGACCUUGACCCACAACGUCGAACUACCUGUAUGCAAAAUUAUCCGUCCAGAAAACCCAUCCAUACAAUUCAGGUUCAAAACCCACAAGAACCACCCUAUGAAUAAACUAAUUAUAGCUGGCUUCGUUGCAAUAGGCAUUAACUUUCUUAUGCUGACAGUCCUAGCAUCAUUUACCAAAGGAUCAACAACUUUUCCAUGUCAGAGAACAUUAUCAAUCACAAUGACACCCCUGGUCCUCACUAGUUGCGAUAGCAAUUUAAAGUAUUCUUGAUUCAAAGGGUAAACAAAACAAAAAAGAAAACCCUAAGUGUGACUCCUUAUUUGAAAAAUGUGGUUUAUGAAAAACCGGAUCGAGCUUAGGGGUCAGGUUACUUAUCGGGAAGGUACAAAAAAAACCGUAGCACCCCUCUAAGUCCCUAAAAUGGGUCUCUAUUGAUAAAAUGAAGCAAUCAUGGCAAUUGGUAAGGAAAUCAUUGAGUAUCAACAUGAUCACACAUUGAGAGUUAAAGCAUGCAUGAGGAAUGGUCAAAGUGAGAAAGGAUGCGUACCUUAGCAACGAGUCCCAAUGCGCUAUCAAGAAAUUGGGUUAGUGCACAAUCAAUAAAUAUAAAAUAUAACACACAUGCAUCACUAAAUAGGGUAAUAAAUCCCCGAUGACAAACCUUGCACUUCACUCAGGUUUAUUUCUACUUCUCUGAUGUUGGGCCCCACCAAAGCUCAUUUUAUUUUGCAUGAAUCAACUCCAAUAACUCCAUUAUUCGGAAUUACGAAAUUUAAUUCUUGCUUAUUUUAAAGCAUUUUAAAAAUAGAGGAGAUAUGAGAAUUGCUCGCCAGAAAAGAAGAUGGCGGCAAAAUUUUAAUGAAAAACGAGUUUUUGGAACCUAAGAAAAAUGUUAAGGAUGGAAAAUUUUGGAGGUUUGAAAUUAAUUAAAAAUUAGAAUUGAGGAAUUUAUUUACAAAAUGGGGUUUAGGAAAAUUAUUUUCAAAAAAAAAAAAUGAUGAAAUGAGAGAUGGCACGUGACACAAGGGUGGCCAUGCUGAAGGCGUUCUCUUCUGGCCCAAGCUGGAAAUGCACUCCAAUUAUCCUUCUUUUCUGGUAUAACACCUUCAUCAAAAUAAAUAGCUUUUGCACCAUACUCUGAUAGACAAGGACCAAUAACAAUGCCUAUAUUUGCCUUAAGUAGACAAAGUAAGUCACCCAUUGAACCUCCAAUAUAAAUUGUCAAGUGCUCUGUGUCAUUACUGCAUCCCUCCUUCAAGAUGUCCUUAGAAACCUAAAGCUUUUCCACGACAUACUCCAUCUUCUUAAUGAUUUCACCCGUGGAAAUGGAUUCUUCACAAGCCAACUCAUUUGAAUAUACUCUCAAAACACCCAUAUCACCUGAUGAAAAUGCUGAUCUAACGAAAUCGCCACACCAACAGUAUGAAAGUCCAUGAACAUCUGCUUUCAGAUUAUUAUUUUUAAGAAUCUUUUGGAAGAAACCUGUGCAACCAUCUUGAAGAAUUAGACCUUGACCAACCUGUUUUAUAUCAUCUGAAUUUAAACCCUUCAAUACUCCAGACUGAGUCACUCUUGAAUCUGCCUUUUCCUCAAAAUCAGAAAGUUGCUCAAGUGCUUUACAUAAGCCUUCAUAAUUGAAUUUUUCCACUGUUUCACUGGGGACGAUGCUUCCCAUGCAUUUUUCAAGCUCUUCAGUAUGCUGGGUAGAUAGAACACCCCAUGUGUGUGUCCAGAUCACCAUGAGUGACCAUUUGAACCUUGACGAAUGAGAGAGUACAUAACAUUUAAGCACACAGGACAUAUAUUAACAUUCUCCAUUAGCUUCUCUUUGCCUUUGUCCACCUCUUGACCUCCCAUGCAGCCAACUGUGAAGACCACGUCCAGGUGCAGUCACGUGGUGACACAUCUCAUGGUCUUCCUCAUCCAAUAAAUCACAUGCUCUGUUAAAUCUGCUACCCGAAUGGAUACCUCCUAUCCAUCAACCUGAAUAUACUCCGAGCUUUCUUCAUAAAACCCAAGAAACUCCAGAAGGCAUCAUGGUUCUCCUCCAUCAUUGAAAUGAUUAGGGAUAGUAAAUCACUCAUCCCUUAGCAAUAUCCCAUUUUUAAACCAUAGGGUGCGUAGGCUUCUAGAAUAGUAGCAAAGUGAGCAACACGGAAAAUCUUGCGUGGAUCCAAGUUCCAUGAUGGUGAUCGUAGCCUCACCUUUGAAAUCACAAGACCCAGAACCCAUUCGUUCUUCCUGGUAAUAACUAUCAGAUGCAUAGGAGGCAGGGUUCUUCAGAUUGUUGAUUUGGUAAAAGCCUCUUCUGGUUGAACCCCUGAAUGAUUCACUUUUCUCAGUCCGCAAACCUAGUUCAGAACAGCCCGCAAGAUCAGAACCUUAACCUAGGCGUGGAGAUCCAGUGUUGUAUAACGCCUCAAUUGUCGGAAGCAGCCAUGGCCCAAACAAUGAUAUAAUGGUCAGCAAGUUGUCCCCAAGGACCAUGACAGUGAUGAGCAUUUCCGGGCAGCGCGUCACCACGUUCCACGUCGCGACGGUAAUGGCUAUGGACUGAGUGUCAUGGUCAGGGAGCUUGAUGAAGCAGGUGAAAAUCUGGUGUUUUAGAUUCUGAGGCAAUGACUGCUUGAUCGGUCGGAUUCUAGUACCGGCGUUACAUUGGGGAGGCAAUCUUAAAGUUCCAACGGAGGUAGUAGUGGACUAAUAUUCCUCAAUAACCAAACUUGAGUUUCUCACUUUCCGCUUCUCAAGGCAUUCACCUGAAACGCUUCAGGCGCCCAAACCCUUUCUGCUCAUCAGUAUAAUCACGCGCAUGAAAGUCUUAACUGCCUUCUAAACUUCACAACUUCAUCUUGCAUCUGGGUCAUCGUCGGCACGAACUUAUCACCUGAUUCAGUUAAUAUCCCCAUAUAACAAGUUCCAAUGAAGUCGCAACUUUGCAUCUUCUUUUCUGCGAUUACUUUGAUUCUCAAAGCCGAUUACUUGUUGCAGUCCAUAGGAGAUUCAAUAAUCAAACAUCAUGCACAAGCAAAAAGGCAACAAAAUACAUCGGCAUGUGGCCCAUACACCCUCCAAAAUCUUCACUCAUUUAGUAAGUUUUAGAUUCAAAAGAGUUAGCCUUCUGGUGAGCAACCCGAUACCCAUAACGAAUGAUGUAUCUGAAACACCUUUCCCACGUGGCCCUUGAAGGAUUCACUAGAAGGUGACCAUGCAUAGUAGGUCUUCACUCGCAGGAGAAUGAGAAGGAAAUAAACCUAAAGGGGGGUUGACAGCGUAGUCUAGAAGGUGAUGAGCUGAGCGGGUGGGGGUAUUAGGGUGGUCAAGUUCAGUGGGUAUGAAGGGUGGAAAGAUGGCAUGAUAGAGGAAUAAGCAGCUGAUAGUGGGUGCGAUGAUAUAAGGUAGGUUGACUAUGGAGAGUAUGGCAUUAAAGGAUGAAGACUUAGAGAGAGAGAGGUGGGUUUAAGGGUAUGGUGAGAUGGAGGGUUGAGGGUGAUAGGCUUGGAUAGUUGCAUGAGGAGGAUGAAAGGUGGGUAUGGAAAAUGUGCAUGGGUAGGAAAUGGGUAUAACAAUGGGUGUGAAUAUUGAGAGGUAGUGAAAUGAAGGCAGCCUUGCUCGUAUGGAUCAGUGUCGGAUUGAGUUAAGAAUGGUGAGAGAAAGGGAUUCGAUGAAUAUUGAAUGAUGGAAAAUGGUGAUUGGUUAGAUAGGGAUUUGUGGUCGAAUGGAAAUAGGAGACAUGAACAUAGAGAUGAGUGUGAUGGAUGAUAGUGGGCAUGAAGGGUAUUGGAUUUGUUCAUGGGUAUAGUGGUUAAAAGAGUGGUGAGAAGAAAAAAAAAUGGCCAUGUAAAUAGCAAUUAUACAUGUGGGCCCGUGAUUGCAAACGGGACUGCAUUGUUGCAUCUCAUGCUGAACCCUCACCUCCUUCUAGGAUCAUUUUCUGCAUCAAAGCUAGAUAAACUUAGAUGGUAUUUCCUGCCAAUUUUGGAUGCCCCCCACUUUGGAAAUAUUUCCUUUUCACCCAUCAGAAUAUGCUUAUCAGGUGUACUUGACUCAGGUUCAUUCCCAUAUUGCCUCUCUGAUUUAUGAUCUUCAAAGGUUUUGCAUGAAGGAAGCCUUUCACUGCAUUCCCCUUCAUCCACCAGACCUUCAGAGCAUCGUUUCCAACAAAAGCAACCUUGACUCUUCUAGUCCCAUCAGAAAAAAGUCUGAAUAUCCUCAGUUUAUGUCAUCCCUUGAUGCCCAACUCAGAAAUGAUCCAAAAAACAGUCAUCUCCCAUAUUUGGCUUCCCAGAAACACCUCGACUCAGAUGGCCAGUCCAAAUGUGAUACCCAACAUUCUAAAAAUGCUAAAAACAGAGGAGAUGAUGAAGAAAAACAGAGCAUGUAUAAAAGAAAAAAAAAAGGACUGUUAAAUCUCACUCCAUUCCAUAAAUGCUAAUGGGGUGGAUAUGGUGGAAUCAAAAGGAAGCAAGAGCGUGAUCUUCAAAAUCAAAAGCAAUGAUGGAUCCAUAUUCAAAACGUUCCAGAAUAGAGAAAGACACAAAUAAGGAGCAGGGUUUUUUUUUGUUACUGGCAGGAAGAUAUUUUUUCUAGAGAGUAACUAGAGAGAAAAAUAGGAAGAAAAGGGAAGAGCAUAGAAGACAUCUACAUAGGAGAGUAUUCAUUGUUGUGAGGAGUAGUAGAGAGCUUAGGAGGAGUUACAAAGAGAGUGAGUUUGGUUAGAGGAGGAAGUUUUGUUGGUUUUUCAGAAAGGAUUCUAGCUUGAGUGAGAGCCAUUCUAGAGAGGGUUAGAGAGGAGAAAGGUGUGUUUUGAGCAGCAAAGACACGAAGCAAAAUAGAGCAGCCAGGAAAGAGAAGCAGAAAAUCAAAAUUACUAAAAAAUUAGUGAAAGCUGUGAAAUUUCAUAUUGUUACUAAUUAUUAUAAUUUUUUUUUGUAUUUUCAAUAUUUCAACCAAUAUUUUAUAUAAUUAAAUUUAAAUUAUAAGAAUUAUAUUAUUAAUACACAUAACUAUCUUAAUGUUUUAACAAUGUAUACUUAUUUAAAUUUAUUUCAAUUUUUUUAUUUUUUUAUAAAUAUCUAAUUAGACUUAUAAUUCAUUGAAAUUAUUCAUUUUUUUUUUACUUCAUAAACCAAUUAUAUUACUUUUUGUAUUUUCAAUAUUCAUUUGGAAAAAAUAAUUUCAAUUUAAAAUAAAAUAAAUUAAUUAACUCUCAAUUUAUAAAUUGUGUCAUUGAAUUAUUUUUUAUUUAUAAUAUUUAGUUUAUUUUAAAUUUAAUUUUUUUUCUUCACCUUUUGGUUUAUCACUUUAUAUUAAAAAAUAAAAUAAAAUUGAAUUUCUUUUAAUUUAUAUUUUCACAAAUUAUUCAAUAUUUUUUUAAUUUUUAUAAAAUAAAUCCUCAGAUUAUAUAAUUGGAUGUUGUAAAGAGUUAAAAUUUUUGUGUUGCAUUGAAUUAUUUUUUCUAACAAAAGUAUAUUUGGGUACCGUAGACAUUAUAUCCAUAUCUUAACGUAUUAUAUACUUUUAUUUUGUGCAAUUAGCAAUUGAGCGGAAGACGCGGAGCCGGCUAACGGAAAUACCGCGUGUCACGCGUGUCCCUUCCCGUACCAAGUCUCAACUGCUUCAAGAUUUCCGACGCGCCCUUCUUCGCUUAACUCUUAAGUCUUUUCUUCCACUCUUCCUUAAACCCAUCACAUUUCGCCGCGUGGACCUAAGUCUCAAUGUCCUUGUGUUCAUACGAUGUAUGUUCCCCCAAUUCCUCAUCUACACUGAAACUCCAUACUCGCCUACUCAAUCACUUCUCUACUCUAGAGUCUGGAUGCUUAUCUCUGCGCGUGUCGAUGGCUCUUCACCCCAGCGAGUAUGGCAUUACAAGGGCAAUAUCGUCAUUAAAGACACAACAGAGUGUCUAUUUUAUUUAAGCUGUACGUAAUCGUGAUUGACUUCUUAGUAUCCUUUUGCUCCUAGUCUUCUCCCGCGUCUCUUAUAAAAACUAAAGAAAACCACUCCAAGAGAGCACACUACAAGAAUCUUCUUCCUUUUUUUCUUUCCUCUUUCUCUUUACAGAUAAACUGAGAAAGCCCAGCUCAUCCCUCAAUUCCCAGAUGGGUUUCAUGAAUGUUCUCAAGUUCUCAGCUGCAUGCUUUGAUCUUCUUGGCUGGUAUGUUGUCCACGCGUUUUCUUGCCAUUGGAAAUUUUUGGGAAAUGAAGUGGAAUUCUCUGUUUGAGGACAAACAUGGGAUUUUCUUUGAUUUCUCCCUGUUGGUUUUAUCUAUAUUCUUUGAAUUACCCACAUUCUUGUCAUUGAUUGUUAGUCAUUUGUUUGGAUUUCUACUUGCAGGCCUCUAUGUGCACUGGGUUAUCCUCUGUAAGUCUUGGUCUUACACCUCAAGAUAUGAUGAUUCAUUUACUCUUUUCUUGUUCUACGAAUGGUUCAGUUACAUUUAUUGUGUUGGGAAACUGAAAAGGAAAAGGAUUAUUAGUUAUUAUCGUAAUAAUCAUCAACAUCAUCUCGGUUCUUCACAGAUGUGCUUCAAUUCGGGCAAUUGAGACUAACUCAAUCUCAGACUUUCGGAAGUUGGUGGCGUAUUGGGUUCUAUUUUCCUUGAUUUCACUCUUUGAUCAUGCUUUUUCCAAGCUCCUUGAAUGGUAAUUUUGCUCAACUGCAUUCCACUAUAUGUGACUCUGUUUGUUUCAUUUCUUUGCCCUUAAGGAAUUUGGAGUUGCUUUUUUCAGUUUUCUUUCCUAUGAAAAUAAUCGAGAGGUCUCCAUGUAUUUUAUAUUCCUUCAUUUCUCUGCUUUGACAAAGGCCCACAUUCUGAUCAGCAGAAAGGUUAUAACAUUUGAAAAAGAAGUGCUUUAUUUUUGUUUUUUGUUAGUACAAUAAUUUUCGUUUGGAUAAAUGGUCUGAAGGGUGUUUGUGUUUGGCUGAGUUCAUGGAAUUUUCUAGCUAAUUUGGGAUUUAUUCUCAAUUUCAAGAUCAUUGUGGAUAUGUCAGAAAUUAAUGAAAUAUAAACGGUGGAAUGUGAUUUUCUUGUUUAAGAAAAGUUUUUCUUUGAAAAUACGGGUGCACCUGACCUACCUUAUUGUGCUACUUGGAACACAAAACAUUAGUACAGGUAAUUUAUUAACUAAAUUGUACACUUUUUGAUAGUUCAAGGAGGUGGUUUUCUUCUUUUAGGGUGUCAGCUUUGGAAAUAGGAUGGAUCUAAAAGUUUUUAUGUCUCAUCUUUAUAGGGAACUUGAAAGCAUGGAUGCACUUAUUUCCAUGGAAUUUGGCUUCCUUGAAAUCAAAUUAAGCUUUAUGCAUCAUUUGGAUGCUGAGAAACAAAUGGAAAUAGAAAAUUCAGAAUCUGACAAGUUUUUGUAGGGCAACUGGAUCUAAUCUCUUAGUCGAAGCCUAAUUGGGGCAAAUGCUGAUCAUCUUUGGACCCCAUUGAAAGCUCUAAUCUGUGCACAAUUCUAAUGUUUUUGUUUUCUUCAUUUCUUUUUCAACUUUUCACAAUAGAUGUCAAAGGUUAAAACCAAAUUUACGCAGUCCAUCCAAGUGGAUGCAUAUAAAUUUAACAGAAACUGAAAUUCGAAGAAAUUUAUUUUCCCUUUUGUAAAUGGUGUUUAAAUAUUUUAUUUUCUUAUAUAAUGCAUGUCAGGGUACCAUUCUGGCCUUACAUAAAGCUGAUGGUCAUCUGCUGGCUGGUGAUACAGCAGUUUGAUGGUUCAUAUUAUGUCUAUCAACACCUAGUUCAGCCAUGCUUGUCCAUGGAUCCACAAGCUGUCAUGAACUGGCUCUUCAAUGAAUCAAAAAAGAAGUUUCAUAGCAGAGAAAACUUUCUUGUUUCAGCAGACCGAUAUAUUAAGGAGAAUGGACCUGAAGCUUUGGAGAAACUACUUUCUAGGAAGGUAUGCCAUUAUAAGUAGGAUUAUCAACAAGUCAAACAGAGUUUUAUUUGAGAUGUUCAGGUAAAAAAUGACUAUAGUAGGUCAUCUAGAAUCAUUUGGUCUAAAUUCAUGUAUAUAUCUAUAUAUAAUUGUGUUCUCUUUUUUUCACAUAUGCAUGUGCAUUUAGAUUUACAUAAUUAUAUAUGCAUAAUCAGAUUCAACUGUGAUAGCCCGGAAUUAUUUCAGUAAUCAACUCUUCUGGGAACAUGUUGGUUAUGGUUUCUCUCUCACUGUCCUCUUCUUUAUACAUGACUUUGGCUUCAGUUGAGGAGCGCAAAGCCUAAUGUUGAAGUGAAAAAGAUCAAAGCACCUGCAGCACCGGAGAAAAAAGGGGAACAGGUAAGUUCUCUAAUGUGACUAUUUAAUUUCUAUGAGGCAGAUCCCCAGAGAAAUGUUGCUCAUGUAAAUUACUGAUGCAUUUGAUUCAAUGGCAUGGUUUUAAAAGAAAAACCACUUUAUGUAUGUUUCUGUGAAUAAGAGAACAAGUUUAUGGAUUAAAUGAUAUUUUUUAUGGUGGAUUAAUCAAUAAUUUUCAAAAUAAUAAUAUAUUCGUGCAUGUUUUUGCAAUUCAUGAAUUCCUUUUAUGAUUGAUUCUUCUUGCCUUUUUUCUCACCUCAGUGGAAGUGUGAAGAGCCUAAUGUUGCUCAAAAGGAGAUCCAAGUUGUCAAAGUAACAGAGAUAAAAAAUGGGGGGGAUGGAGCAAAGAGGGUAAGUUUUGCUUUUUAUUUAUAAAGUAGGCUGUCUUCACACAAGGAUUAUUAUCUUUAAGACAUGAAUGUUGAAUGCUUUUGGAAUUGUCCAUGAAUCAUGUGUAGUGUGAAUGGCCUAAUGCUGCUAAGAAGGAGGUCAAAGUGACAGAAGUAACACACAGAACAUUCGGUGGUACAGCACAGUGGGUAAGGUUUCAUGUCAUAUUUAAAUGGCUCCUCAUAUUUCACUAGGAUUAAUUUUGCCCCUACAAACAUAUUUGGCUACAAGUUAAGACAGAGUUCCAGAUGCUGAUAAAGUUGAGACAUAAGUAAUGAAUGAGUUUAGAAACAUGCACAACUCUUGUGUGAAACACAAUGAGAGUGGAAAAUAGCUAAGUUGAAAAAUGGCCAAAUACUAUUUUGUAGUUCCCCCUACCACUUAAGUAAUUUUUGUCAUCCUUUGUGAAUGGAAAAUCCAGUCCCUUCAGUAAUUCCGUUAUAUUCAUGACUUGGUGAAGCAUAUAACCAUUAGUGUCUUGCCUUAAGUCGACCUUUAAUGAUGAUCCAUUGAGAUGGGUCUGACUUUUGUCAACCCUCUUAUUCCCUUGAUCAUAGAGGUUAAACUUAGGGGGCUUAACCCACUUUUGAACCUUAUUGGAUAUAUGGCACAUGGUAUCCUCUUCAUCUUGAAAGAGUGAAGUGGUCAUACUCUUUCCUCUGAGUCCAUUGUGGCCAUGCACUUCUGGCCCAUUGGGCUGAGUGAAAGGAUUCCCUUCUGCUUCAAAUCAUAGAGAGAUAUGCCAUGGUCAGCCUCUUUAAUUCAAGGGAUCGAAGUACUCAAAUCCAUUUCUCUGCAUCCAUCUUAAUUCUGCAUUCAUGUCUCAUGGUUAACCAAGAAGAUCCAGCUUCCAUCCAUGAGAUCAGCAUCUGCAGGUUUAUGACACCACCCUUCCUUGGCAUAGGAAAGGGAUCAUUAAGCCAUGUGUUGGAUGACAGAAGUCAUCAUUCAGGUUAUCUUGAGAACUAAGGAAGUUGGAAUUCUAAUUAUUGCAUAUGGUUCUUGAUGUUUAGCCAAUAUACCGUAGGAUUUUAAGGAUCAUGCUCAUGUGCAUUGUGGUUGUUUAUCAGCUAUAUGGUUUACCAAAAUGAGGGACUGAUUAUGGUCAUAAGUACCUUUUUCCUAUUAAUUUCUUGCAUGUGCUCUGCUGAGAUUAUGUUUUUGACAGUCCAAAUCAGGGCAAACCAACAAACAGCUUUAUGUUAACUUUUACAAACUGCCACAUUUUCAGGUUAAACGAACAGAGAUAAAUCUUGGUGAAACUAGAAGUAAUACAACUUGUGCUGUGGAGAUAAAAGAAAGGGCAGCGGCACUGGUGGCUGCAGAAAUUGAGGCAUGUAGAGACGAUAGAACCCCCAAGAUACCUCUUCAUGAGAAAGUCCAGAAAGAGUGGGCUUGUGCUGUAUGCCAGGUCACAACCCAAAGUGAAGCGACCUUCAAUUCCCACCUUCAAGGGAAGAGACAUCAGGCCACUUCUGAGCAGCUGAGAGCCAAAAACCAGGCAACCAAAACCAAUUGUUCCCCAUCUGCUUCAAUGGCCAAGAAAUCUGAUCAGUCCACCAAAGAGGAGCAACCGAAGUGUACUUCCAACAAUCUGAAUUCCAAAAACAAUGGAAUCUCAGCUGCUUCAACAGUGAAGAAACCUGAUGACACCAAAGAUGAUGAGCGACAAAAGUCUGCAUCUAGCAAUGAACCGAACCAGAAGAAUAACAAAAAGCAAGAGGUACAGACCAAUGAGCAAGGCCAUCAGAAGAACUUAAAGCAAACUGGCGAUGGAAUGAAAGAGUUGAGAUUAUGCUGCAAUAUCUGUAAUGUAAGCUGCACAAGUGAGCUUGACAUGGCCUCUCAUCUCAAUGGAUGGAGGCACUUUAAUAUGAUAAAGGAGGCGUCUGAAUUAUGGUGCAGUAACUGCAAUGUAAGGUGCAACAGUGAGGCUGUCAUGGCCUCUCACCGAAAUGGGAGGAGGCACUUGAAGCAGCUGAAGGAACGGUCGGGAUUAUAGUGCAGUAUCUGUAGCGUGAGAUUGUGUUAGGAAGAGGUGGAAUGGGUUCCAAUCAGGAAUUAAGACUCGGUUCCAAGACAUGGAAAGUGUCUUUAGAUUAUGUUAUCUCCAUUUUUUUUAUUGUGAGAGGGGAGUAUAAGGAAUGAAAAUAAAUAUAUAUAUAUUUUUUAAUAGAGAUGAAUUUGAUAAUUUUAAUUAUUGUGUUUUGAUGUAUUUAGGAAUGUAAAAUUAAAAUAAUUAUUUAUUUUCAUUUUAGUAUUUGACAAUAAUAAAAUUAUGAAUUAAAAAAUAAUGUGAUAAUAAUACAUUUAUAUUUAAUUUAAAAUAUUUUUUAUUUUAUUUUAGAAGAAUAUGGGUUAAAUUCUUUUUUUAAAUAAUAAGCUUAAGAAAAAUAAUUUUUACUCAAUAAAUAAAAUUAAUCAUAAAAAGUCAUAACAACCUAAUAAAAAUAUAGGGGUAAAAUAAUAAUUUUAAAAUAUUAUUUAAGUUAUCCAAACAAAUUUGACUCUUCAUUCUCUCUCUUGAACCAAAUACGGUCUUUUAAGCGUUUGUCAACUUAUUUUUUUUUGCAAAAUAUCAAUAUUUUACUAAUAUUUUUAUCGAUUAUUUGCCAAUAUUUAUCGCCACGUCACCAAUUCUUUGAGUUUGACUUUCAAAAUUUUGAAAUGAUAUUUGAAGUCCAGUUCAGCCCAAAUCACUACACCCAUGAUUUUUCCCUUUUCUUUUUCUCCUUAAUUUUCACAUCACCCAACAACACUACUCUUAAUUCACACAAAUUUGAAGGUUUGGAACGAGACUUCUUCCUAAUUAUAUUGUAAUUAUGUUAUAAUAACCAUGUCGUAUUUGGAUUUAUUUAUUCAGUCCAUCUAAAUCUUUUGUUUAUUCAUGUAAAAAGAAUAUAGUUAUAAUCGAAUCCAUUUGUGACAUAUUCAUCUUUUAUAAAUUUAUUAAUUUUAUAUAUUUAAAAACUAUAAAAAUUAAAUAUAUUUUUUCAAUUAUGAAUAUCAUAUUACUAAAAUAUUAAAUAACUAAUUAACUUGAAAUGUUUUAUAUUUCAUUCAUUAUUUUAUAAUUACAACAUUAAGUGAAAUAAUAAAUAGGUUAAAAUAUAUAUUUUAUUUUAGUUAAAAAUUAUAAAUUGUUAUUGAGACGUAUAACUAUUAAAAUUCUACCCAUUUGACCAUCAAACAAACAACUUAAGUUUUUAGUCAUAAUUUAAGCUUCUGAUAAACUCUAUUUCCAUAAAUUAGAAACCGAAAUCAAUUUCUUCUUAGACUCAAAAACAUAAAGACAAUCUUUUAAUUCUAGAAGACAUCUAUCAUUUAAGAUAAGGGUAACAUAUCCCAUUGCCUAAACAACAACUCUUGCUUCAAAAGCCAAUGUCAAGUACAUAUCCCUAUCAUUCAACCUUUCCCUUAGCUAAAACCCCUAUAAAGAAUUAUAAACAUAAUCAAUGGCUCCAAAAUUUAUCCACCAAGAGUUAGUGGAAUCCAACACUAAACAUAAUUCAACUAUAAGAGAAUGAUGCAUAGUUGACUAUCUCUUCAAGAACUAAGGACAUUCCUUCUUCUUCUAAUGGCAUUUUUUACCACAAAGGAAACACUUGUCAUGACCCUUACUCUUCUUCUUCUUCCCCUUAGCCUUAAACUUCCCCUUCUGCUUGAUGAACUCUAUAGUGUUCUUCUUAUUUUGGCUAGAAAAACCUAAAGAACCCUUAACUGCCAUAUAAAUACCUCUCUGGUCCUUGAGAAUUCCCUCAGUCAUUUUGUGUUCUCUCAUUAGUUCAAUUGUAGUUUAAGAAAAAUAAUGUUUUUUAUUUUAUUUUAUGUGAUUGAACUUGGAAUGAAUUUCCAAGUUGCAUACAUACUUGGGUUGAGAUCAAGUCAUAACGUAGUUUAAGAAAAAGAUUUUUUAUUUUUUAUGUGAUUGAACUUGGAAUGAAUCUCUAAGCUACCUACGUAUCCAAGAUGGGAUCAAGUUCUAACAUAGUCACAAUGCAGUUCAAGAUUUUUUUUUUUCUUUUUUUGUGCUCUAACUUUUGUCAAGACUAAAGAUCUUAAUCUUGCAAGCAUGUCCUAACUUUUGUCUAGGUCACCUUUCCAAGUUUUCAACUUAGCAAACAUUUUUUUUUUUUGUUCUCUAACGUUUGCCAAGACAAAAGAUUUUAAUCUUGCAAGCAUGUCAUAACUUUUACCUAAGUCAGAUUUUUAGGUUUUCAAUGUGGUGGAUUUUUUUGUUUUUUAUUUUUUAUUUUUUAUUUUUUGUGUCGUAGGCAAUUUAGCUCAUACGGCCCAGAAGCGAUGUGUAGUUUGUUGGGAUUCAACCCUUAAAAGCAAAACAUGAUGUAACAAAGUUAGACUUAACUAUCCCCUUGCUAUCAUUUUGGUGUAUUAACAUUGAUUUAAACAUUCAACUCAUAUUUUACAUUGUACAUGACUUAGGUGCAUUAGGAGUUGCUCAUAAGAUACAUGGAUUCCUUGUAAGUAGAUGAGUUAUCCAUAGUCAGUUCAUGGAUUUGGGCAAUCUAGUAGAGACUGUAAUGCACCACCUCUUAAUUGAAGAGAUGACUUGUCUUGACAGUUGGGAUAGGUUUCCUAUGGUGAGUGCACUAGUAUAUAUGAUGCACAUUGGAUAGGACCUACGGUAAAUCAUGAGCAAAGCUAUCAAUUGUCAUGAUUCACCAAGUUACGAUACUGCAUGGACUCUCAAUCUUGAGAGGACAUUGAACCUGUGCCAAAAUCAACAAAAAGCUUUCACCUAUAGAUGAGACCUUAAAGUGAUCAUAUAUCCCUAUGGAUUGAGUCACUAUUGAUGAAGGUUGGUGGUAAUAGGUAUUCUCAAUAGAGGCACCAUGAUAUCUCAUGAGAUUGAGACGGUGUGUCCCCUUGGGUGAUACAAAGGACAUGUGAUCAUAAAAUCUGUGACCAUAGUAAUUCUUUUAUUGAAAUUUGACAUAUACCCCUUCGAGCUAGAGUAUGUCAGUUGAUUACAUAAUAAGUGGCAUCUAUAACUUAAGGAUUUGAGAGGUAAUCUUGAUAGGUGAUAGCACUACCUUGUUAGAUUAUGGACACCAGUUCAUGGGGAAUCUACAUGCAGUGGAUGAUAUGUCACGAACGCGAGCUUCAUAUCGUUGUUAUUAACAUAGGAUACUGGAGUGCAAUUGAUUCUCUUUAGUAGAAUGUUGAAUCAACUUCAAAAUGGAUUAUGAGGGAGCCAAUACUCCUAUGGGUCUUAAUGGUCCCCACUCUGAGCUCAUAUACCAUGAUGACACAGUUUAUGAGGGUUUGAUUGGCUUUAUGUUCAUUUUUGUGCAUAAGGGCAUUUUGGUAAUUACACAAGGUUACAUAGGGGAUAGUCAAUAAGGUCUUUAGAUUGGGCCAAUUGAUUAAUUAGAUGACCUUAUGUGGUUAAUUAAUCAAUUAUGAUAUGUUUAGGCUAGAUUAAAUGACCCAAGCCUUGAUGAAUUUAAGUCACUUAAGCCUAGCAGAUAACCUUAUAAAUACCCUCUUAUGGGUUAGGGUUUCCUAAUGACUUUCAGUUAAUCAUCUUCCAUCCCUAGAAAGAGAAAGAGAGCCAAAUCUUUCUCCCUUCCAUUGCCCACACUUUGGUAUGCCAAGAUCAUGGUUCAAGUCACUGGGAGGAAGAUCUUGGGUGUACAAGACCUUCGGACUCUUUAAGUUUCUUCUUCGUUGGAUGAAUUUUUAUUUGGGACACAUCUAGAUCAUAAGUAUGUGUUAGAAAAUUUGGCUAAUUCAACUUAAGGUAAUCACUCUAGAGGAGGGGUGAAUAGGGUGAUGAUCUUUUUUUACAAAUUUAAAUUAUGUGAAUGCAAGAGACAAUUAUACUAUGCAAAUAUAUAGUAAAACCAUAUAAAAAUAAUUGCAUAUAAAGUACAAGGGUAGAAAAUAGAGAAUAUAAACACAAGAUUUUUAUAGUGGUUUGGUGCAACUCGGCCUACAUCCAUUCUCCUCUAGCUUCAAUCCCAAGUUUGAGGUUCCACUAAUUCAAGGCUUCCAACCUAACCCUUCAAGCAAUACAAUUGGAUUAUGGUUCCAAUCAAACCUUUUGGACUUUUGGCUCUAAGCACCUUUUACAAUCUUUGAUUCGUGCCUAACUGGUGUUUGCCCUGUUGAUUGGUGUUCAAUCAACUGAUGUGCUUUGAUUUCAGUCCUCAGACGAGAGUAAUCAACAAAAUUUAUAAACCUAUUUCACCAUAUACUAGGGUAGCAUUAGCUAGCAUAGCAUAGUGGCUCUAGGAUCGUCCACAGGGAUGGGUUUUCAAAUUACAAUUGAUAUUAGUUCAAAAACUGAAUUGGUGUUUUUUCUUUUCAAGGUUAGCUUUAAAAGAAAACAUAAGUAUGUGUGAAAAGGUUGGUUUUAAGUGAAACCAAAAAUAAAGUAACUGAAAUUACUUACAAAGAAAAGUGCUUCUUGGAGUUUUAGAUCACUAGGCUCAAGUUCCUUAUACAAAAAGAGAGAUUCCGAUCACUUGGAUCUUUUCCUAGCAUUGGGGAUUUAACAUAUAGUUAUUUCCCGAACCGGUGCGGUACAGAUGCUUCCCCUUAAUGGUUUCAAACACUAAAUCUCUAUCACUGAAUCAUCUUGUAAUGGUUCAUACCUCUCACCUGGUAUUGGUCAUUUAAGGUGAUCAUUAACCUUGGAUUACCCGUCAAAAGCUCGCAAAAGAUAACUAAUGAAUGUCUCCUAGGAGUCCAAAAGCUUACCAAGUGUUGGCUAUUCUAGAUAAUCCUACCUUUAAACCAUCUCCCAAAAGCUCGCAAGAGAUAAACUAGUGGAUCUCAAUGGACGGAGUCCACUUGCCUUACCAAGUGUUGGCCCAAGUGAUUUUAAGGGAUUUUAAGUUAACUAAAAAGAUAAAAACCAUUAACGGGUCACACUUUCUCUUCAUUAAAACCUGAAACAAUGAAACUUCCACUUUUGUAUACGAAACCUUACCUAGCUUCCUUCACUCCAAGAAACAAAAAGCCUAGCCACUCAUCCUCUAGGAAAACAUCCUCAGAGUUUGAUUUGGUAGAAAUAAAAAUAAAAGAGAAAACCAAAUGUGAAGGUAAGGCCGAGCAGAGCUCUGUGUAUUACUUUAUGAAAAACUAUACAAAAUUUGUCUCUAAGAGAAACUCCCCCGAGAUCUCUUUUAAAAGAAAAUUACAAUAGAUAUCAUAUAAAGAGGCUAUUCACCCCUCUUGCUAACUUCCCAACCAUGAAAACUUGUCAAUGGUGGGUUACAAGGAGAAAAUAGGGAUUUACACACAAAUAUUUGAAGAUAAACAUCAAACUGAGUCGGUGCGCAAAUAUCUCAGAUUACAAGUGGAUUUCGCAAGUUCAAACGCAACUUGCAAAAAUUUUGCAAGUUGAAAUUAUGGUUUCGCAAGUUGCGAAAUUGUCCUGCAACUAAUCAGCUCUCUGUCCUACAACAAUUCCUUUCCUCUUCCUAUUUCGCAAGUUGUGAGAAUUUCGCAAGUUGGAUUCCACAACUUGCAAAAUUGUUGGAUGGUUGAUUUCUUUUGUGAUUUUCUUCCUUGCAUCCUCAUUUGGCUUUGGCAAAGGGUUAUGAAGCUCCAAAGCUUAGUUUCUUCAUGAAUUUGAGCUUCAACUUGCUUUGCCAUGAACUAUACAAAGAUCUCCCUCAUUCUUGGAUUGCUUUGGUGAUAAAAAAGCUAUGAAAAACACCAAAACUUAACACAAUUUGAUUAGAAACGAUUGUAAGGGUCUUUAACAUGCCAAUUGAGUUAAAAGGUAAUAGCUACUACUCAAAAGUGUUUAAAAGAGUUAAUUACAAGCUAUAAAAUGACCCUUUUUGAAGUUCAACCCCUUAAGUGAUACCCCUUAAGUGAUACCCCUUAAUUCAAGAGAUGUCUUACUCUUAAACAACCCCUUAAGUGAUACCCCAUACUUGAGAUUCCCUAAGUGAUGCCUCACACUUAGAUUUUUCAUCUCAAAGAUUUACAAAUGAAGAUAGGAAAUAAUCUCACAAAAUCUUAAUACAAAACAUUAGGCUCAAAUGAUACAAGAUAAACUAUGAUUGAAUGGUGCACUAAUAAUAUGCAAGUUUUAAAACAAUGAGUACUAAAAAACACUCUCCUAAGGUUCAAAUAUAUUCAAGAAAGAUUUAAGAAGGUUAAACUCUUGAAACAAUAAAGAUUGAAACCUUUUUAUGGAGGAGAAAUGCCAAACUAGUUGUUGGGGGUUUGUCCAGUCGAGUUCUGGUUUGACCGGUUCACUAACCGUUAGCAUUUAAUGCAUGAUAGGUGAUCAUUGGGCCUUGACCAUCCCUCGACCAGUACUCAACCGGAUAAAGUUCAACCUUAAUCAAUCGAAUAAGCAUUCUAGAAUAGAGAGAAGGUUUUUGCACCUUUCAAUCAGUUGAGUUGAACAAAUAGACGGAUUCCUUAUCCAGUUCAACCGGUUGAGCCAUUUUUGGCUCAACAAUCAUCAUUUUCAACUUAAAACCUUUUAAACAAGUUUAGAAAGCAUUUGACACAAGGAUUUAGUUGAAAACAUUAAAUCAUCCUAUUUUUAAAAGAUUUAAAACAAAAUACCUCUUGAAUGAUUUUGGUGUAUAAGUAAAUAAUGUAAUGCAUGAAAAACCCAGUGCGCCAACAACCUUACAAAGAGAUCUUAUGAGGCUUAGGUAUUGAAAAACACUUCUCUUUAAGGCAGACAACAUCGUGUGAAUACCAAAGGGGAACUCUACGUUCCUAGGGAAAGAUGCCUCGUCAGUACGUCUUGAGGUUGUUCACUAACUUCGGGGUUACCGGCUUUGAGAGGAGCCCUUUGAUGACAUUUGGGCAUGCAACUCUUCAUUUUCUUCCUUGAUUCGCCUUGUUUGGUGGAUCAAAGAUUGCAUAUGCCAGUCAUUUUUGCACUAGGUUCUCUCCAUGCUUUCACGCCAGCCAAAGUAGCUUUCGUUACCCAUAGUUGAGGAUCGGCUUCUAAAGGGUACUAACAUCCUUAGUCAUUCCCACAGAUGACACCAAUGUUGGUUCUGAGUCGGCUGAAGUCAAAUUCAUCCAACUUAACGGAAGUUUGACAACCUUCCUCCAUUUUUUGUGCCUCUUAGAGAAUCCACCUAGCAGUAAUGAGAUUGGGCGAACUCCUUUCUUGCACAAAAGAAUGUUCAGAUGAGUACUUCGGGUACGCCCUUCGAAGCUUAAGUGAGGCAAAAAUAGCUCAAACUACUUAAUGAGAGAGAGUGGAUAGGUGAAUAUGUGCCUACCUUGUUCGUGCUUUUUGAGGGGUUUAUAUAAUGUUGAUGAGAAUGCCACUAUAGUGCUUACUAGACACUUUAACUUUCUUCUAUAAUGAUGAUUGUCUUGCAGGCGGUUGGGCAAUCAUCAAAAUUUUGGGUGGCUGAUAGGUGCCAUCAACUAACGUGCCAUGAUCUUAGACCAUGCAGUAACCUGUUCCCUCAGUCUGUUGAUGGCCUAAGGUUAUGUGCAACAAUUAAUUGACAUGGACUUGAGGGCUAGAAGAGGUCCCAUCGGCCGUUCACAUGUCAAGUGUGAAUGAUCACUCAUGCUAGUGGGUCUUGAAGAUUUGACUAGACAACCUUACCUAUUUGGGAGGUCCAACCUCCCAUUGCCGUUGUUUUGGCCUUAUAGGAGAAAAGGGCUUUCUCAUGUAUGGUGCUAGAGGGACUAGUCGUGAUCCAGAUGAGUUGCAUACCCAUGCUAGAUGGUCGAAGUGUCCGGGUUGGAAAUGGAGGGAAGCCUCCCACAAAUAUGAGGGAGCCUUAUGAAAACGGAUCCUUAGGGCUUAAGAAGGGGUUUUCAAUUUUAAGGUUUGCCUUUUCACCCAAGGAUGUGAAUGGGAAGAUGAGGCGAAGUUAAAAGAUUGGUGAAGCAAAGUGAGGGCAAGGUAGGGUUUGAAUAAAGGAAAGUAUACACUAUUAAUGAAGAUGAUAAUCUCUAGAAAGAAAAACUAAGGUAAACUAGGGCUUUAAUAAUAAUUUUCAAUCUACACUAGUGAAGAGGAUAUCUUCGAAAACCAAAGUUAGGGCUUCAAUAACGAAUUUCAAUCUACAAUGGUGAAGACAAUAAUCUUCGAAAACCAAAUCUAUAAUGAUGAAGAUGAUUGAAAACUAAAUCUAUACUAGUGAAGACGAUUGGAAAGCAAAUCUACACUGGUGAAGACAAUGAAACCAAAUGUAGGUCUUCUAAACUAAACGCUUUUAAGGAUUUUCCUUUUUUUUUUCCUUUGUUUUCAAGAAAGGCAAACUCUUUAGAAAACUAAAAAAACUAAUGCAUUCUUAGAUCCAGAUCACUAUUUCCAACAUGGUAUUUGGAUUGCCAGCUUGCAUUUUUUAUUUUUUUAUUUUUUUAAUAGUCAUUGGCAUUUUAGGGAUUAUUGAAGGAUAAUAUCAUUCAGCUCAAUUUCCCAAAUUAGUUAGGUCUUACACUCAAAUGUGAAACUUAUAUGGAUGUUAGGCCAAUUAUCAAACUCAUCUGCCCUAAAACAUAAUUUCCCUUUUUUAAAAUAGUUGUUAAACAUCUAUCCCAAACACGUUUAACCCUUUGAAUUGCUUGUAUGUUAACCUUGUUUCCUUUUCUUCAUGCAACAUGGCUUAUUGAUGGUUGCAUUGAAUCAUUAUCAUUCACCAAUUCCAUGCAACUAUGGACUACAUUUCAAAUCCCUCGAACAUAAAUGGUAAUUCCAAAACAACUCAAGUAUAAUCUUUUCAACCCUUUCAAAUGAUUUAAUUAAUUGAUUUUUGAAUAUAUUCAUAUAUUUUUUUGAGCAAUUUUUAGGCAUAUAACAUAAAUCUCUUUUUUAUAUAUAUAUAAAAGGUUUUAUAUUUUAUAUUACAAUUUCCUUUUGUUUUUUCAUCUAAAAAACAAAACAUAAAACCUUAAUAAACGAGUUUUGUCACAAUCCCUUAACAAGUAAUCUAUUUUUUAAAUUACUUUAACAUUUUUAGAUAUAUUGAUUCAAUCUAAUUUACUUUUAAUAUUUUUUAUAAAAUAUUUUUACUUUAUAUGACUAUAAAUUAAUUACUAUUGAUUGCAUAUUAUAGAAUAUAUAUUCUAAAAUAUAUCUUAUUGACAAUAUAAUCAUAAGAUGUUAUAUCCAUAUCCUAACAUAUUAUAUACUUUUAUUUUGUGCAAUUAGCAACAUGGUGGGAAGUGGCAAGCAGCUUAACGGAAAUGUCAUGUGCCAAUGUGCCAUGCGUGUCCCUUCCCUUAGUGAGUCUGAACUGCUCCAACAUUUCCGACAUGUUAUUUUUUACUUAGCUCUUAAGUAUUUUCGUCUCGUUUUCGUUAACCCCAUCACAUUUCGCCACAUGGAUCUAAGCCUCAUGGUCCUUUCGUUCGUACAAUGAAUGUUCCCCCAAUUCCUUAUCUACACUAAAACUCCAUACUCGCCAUCUACUCAACCACUUCUCUACUCUAGAGUUUGGGUCCUUUAUCUCUGCACGUGUCUAUGGCUUUUCACCCCAACAAGUAUGGCAUUACAAGGGCAAUAUCGUCAUUAAAGACCCAAAAGGGAAACCAAUGGCAUUAUCUUCCUUUUGGUCUAUUCUAUUUAUAUUGUAAGUUAUUCGUGAUGACUUCUCCCAUAAAAGCUAAAAACCACUCCAAUAGAGCACACUUCACUUCUUCAUUUUUUUUUUUCCAGAUAAGCUCAGAAAGCCCAGCUCAUCCCUCAACUCCCCGAUGGGUUUGAUGAAUGUUCUUAAAUUCUCAACUGCAUGCUUUGAUCUUCUUAUCUGGUAUAUUGUCCACGCAUUUUCUUGUCAUUGGAAAAUUUUGGAAAAUGAAAUGGAAUUCUAUGUUUGAUGACAAAACUGGGAUUUGCUUUGAUUUCUCCAUGUUGGUUUUAUCCCUUUUGUUUGAAUUGUCCACAUUCUUGUCAUUGGUUGUUAGUUAUUUGUUUGGAUUUCUACUUGUAGGCCUCUGUUUGCACUGGGUUAUCCUCUAUAAAUCUUGGUCUUACACACCAAGAUAUGAUGAUUCAUUUACUCUUUUCUUGUUCUAUGAAUUCUUAGUUCUGUUACAUUUAUUGGGUUGGAAAACUGAAAAAGGAAAGGAUUAUUCGUUAUUAUCAUAAUAAUCAUCAACGUCAUCUCAAUUAUUCACAGAUGUGCAUCAAUUCAGGUAAUUGAGACUAACUCGAUCUCAGACAUUCAGAAGUUGGUGGCAUAUUGGGUUCUAUUUUCCUUGAUUUCACUUUUUGAUCGUACUUUUUCCAAGCUCCUUGAAUGGUAAUUUUGUUCAACUUCAUUCCAUCAUAUGUGGCUCUAUUUGUUUCAUUUCUUUGCCCUUCAGGAAUUUGGAGUUGCCUUUUUUAGUUUUCUUCCCUGUGAAAAUAAUCGAGAUGUUUAAUGUUCCAAGCCUCCAUGUAUUUUAUUUUCCUUCAUUUCUCUGCUUUGAUAAAUCCCCAUGAUUUGAUCAGCAAAAAGGCUAUAACAUUUGACAAAGAAAUGCUUUAUUUUGGUUUUUUAAGUACAACAAUUUUCAUUUGGAGAAAUGGUCUAAAGGGUAUCGGUGUUUGGAUGAAUCAUGGAAUUUUCUCGCUAAUUUGGGAUUUAUUCUCAAUUUCAAUAUCAUUGUGGAUAUUUCAAAAAUUAAUGAAAUAUAUAUGAUGGAAUGUGAUUUUCUUGUUUAAGAAAAGUUUUUCUUUAAAAAUUUAGGUAACCCUGACCUACCUUAUUGUGCUACUCGAAACACAAAACAAAAGUACAAGUAAUUUAGUAACUAAAUUGCACACUUUUUGAUAGUUCAAGGAAGUGGUGUUAGCUUUGGAAAUAAGAUGGAUCUACUAGUUUUUAUUUCUCAUCUUUAUAGGGAACUUUCCAUAAUAUAGCUUAUAAAUACCAUAAUCACAGUGAUGAAUAAUUGUCUUGUUUGAAAGCAUGGUUGCACUUAUUUGCAUGGAAUUUGUCUGCGUUGAAAUUAAAUUAAGCUUUAUGCAUCAUUUGGAUGCUGAGAAACAAAUGAAAAUAGAAAAUUCAAAAUUUGACAAGUUUGUGUAGGGAAAUUGGAUCUAAUCUCUUAAUCGAAGCUUAAUUAGGGCAAAUGUUGAUCCUCUUUGGACCUAUUGAAAGCUCUAAUCUGUGCACAAUUCUAAUGUUUUUGUUUCCUUAAUUUCUUUUUCAACUUUUCAACAAAGCAUCAAUUUGCUAUAAUAAAUGAGAACCAACUUGACGAUGAGAAAAAUGACUGGUGAUGAUGUCAUAGAGAAUCGCAGAUGAGAACAACCAAAAAUACUAGGAUUGGUACCACUGAUGGUAAUGAAGAAAACACAAAAAUGGUGCAAAUGGUGAACAGGAAACUCAAAAUGGAAUGGGAAAAGAAACCUAAACAAUAGUCUCCUAUAUAAAGCACACAACAUGUACAUCGAGGCAUCUGAAAGGACACGCUGCCUGAGAAGUCACUCUAAUUGAUGUGACUCCUCAUGACGUGGGUGGUGGACAUAUGUCCCAUGGUGCCAAAAAUUUCAAACACUCAAGCAACCGAAUACUUUCACUUAGUCAUUUAAAGCCUAGCUAGACUCAAUUGCAAGAAUUAAGGGCAUUGUGGGAUGCUCACCACCGUCUAUCAUGGUCCUCAAACACUGUCUGGUGUGAGACAUAUUGGCACAAGAGCCAUGUAGCUUCUCUAUCCACCCCAAGAUACUCCUAGGGUAGCAAACGAACACAAUCCGACCAAACACUAUGCAUUCCUACCCUACAAGCAUUAAUUUCAAUGAGCAAUAAGUGUAUUAACACAUUAAUGAAUGCAACCGUUAUAACGCUAAAACGCCAUACUUUAAGGUUCAUCAAGACACAACAACCAUUAUGGGCCGACAAUUAUUGGCGUUAAAUAUGGUAAUGCGCAAUCAAAGGCUCAAUUAAGGCCCUUUAGAAGACGUUACUAUUGGGCAAAGAUAAAUAACCAUUUUUUACCACAAGAAAGUCUGAUGCCAUUUUUUUCACAAAAACUUUUGCUUAAGUCUUCCAUCUCUAACCUAAGCUUUGAAGGGGUGUACUUGGAAAACCUAUCCGAACAUUCCUUUAUGUAGGUGCAAUCAUCGUUUAUGUCACGCGAAGGCUAGUCAAAGACCUUUAUUGGUCGUGCACCAAUAAAUCUAUUUAGUAUAUCUCAUUUAUCCGUUCAAGUGAGAUGAAGGAGUGACCUAAAGAUAGAUUGGAAACAUCAUAGUUUCUUAUAUUGGUAAGGCAGCAACAACCUCGGCUAGUGCAUCAACCUGCUCGUUUUCCUCUAGGGGUACGCGUUUGAUAAACCAUUCAUUCAAUUUUUCUGUUCAAGUGUACCAAAGAGAGGUAAUGAGCCAUGCAUUCAUCUCAAGCUUCAUAUUUUAGUUAGAUUUGUUCACCCACUAGUUGUGAAUUGCUUUUGAUUUCUACUUUCAUGGUUGUGAGAGCUAAGGCUAGAUCGUCUCAUAAGAAUUGCUUCAUAUUUUGCCUCAAUAUUAGAUACUGGAAAGUUGAGACAGACGACUUGUUCAAUUUGCUCUCCUGUAAGGAAUUGUUGUGUUAGUCCUAUCCUAGCUUCUGAUGUUCUAGAGGCUUCGUCUACAUGGAGAACACGCCAUUGUUCUUCAUUGUUAGACCUUGUCCAUUUUUGGGGUGGUUCGACUAUGAAAUCAAUGAGAACUUGCUAUUUGAGAUACUAAUGAGGUUUGUACCGUAUGUAAUAUUCACUCAAUUUGAUUGCCCAAUUCACCAUUCGACUAGAUAGAUUUAGCUUGUGCAACGUGACCCACAACGGUUGAUUUGUCAAGACCGUUAUUUGGUGCGCCUGAAAAUAUGGACAAAGCUUCUUGGCAGCGAUCCGUAAGUUCAGAGCCAUUUGUUCCACUUAAGAAUAUCGUGUUUUUGUGUCAAUCAUAGCUUUUCUCACAUAGUAAAUAAGUCUUUGUUCAUUACUCUAAUUGUGUGGAAACAAUAUGACAUUGACAGCAAAGUUUGACACAACCAGGUACAUGUAUAACUCUUCUCUAGCUUCAAGACUACUUAAGAUUGGUGGCUUCGUAAGAUACUGUUUGAUGUCUUUAAAGGCAUGCUCACACUCAUCCAUCUAACUAGACAUCUUUGCUCCCUAGAGUUUGCUCAAGAAAGGUCUGAGCUUAUUUAUGAAGCGUGUUAUGAACCAACCUAAGGUGAUUAGACACCCAGUUAGACGUUGCACUUCCUUCUUGCUAGUAGGAGCAGGGAUUUCUAACACUACUUUCACUUGAGCCAGAUCGACUUCAAUACCCCCUUUGAGUCACCAUGAACACAAGAAACUUCCACUCACUUACUCUAAAUGCAUAUUUUAUUGGAUUAAGCUUCAUGUCAUACCUGCACAUUAAACUGAAUGCUUCUUCCAAAUGGAGGAGCUUCUUGGAACGAGUUAUUCUCUUAAUGACAAUGUCAUCGAUAUAGACUUCCAACGUUCGACCUAUCAAGGGCUUAAAAAUAUGGGUCAUCAACUGUUGGUACGUAGCUCCAAUGUUCAUUAACCCAAGCGACAUGAUCUUGUAAAAGUACAACUCCUUAUGUGUAAUAAAUGUCAUCUUCUCUUUGUCAUGUGGAAACAUUGGUAUCUGGUGGUAUCCAAAAGAAGCAUCAAGAAAAGACAACAUUCCAUGCCUGGUUGUGGCAUCGACUAUCUAAUCUAUCUAGAGCAAUGGGAAGCUAUCUUUCAAGCAGACUUCAUUCAUAUCCACGUAGUCUGCGCACACCUGCCAUUUUUCUCCUUUCUUGGUACCACUACCACAUUUGUUAACUAGUCCAAGUAGGUCACCUCCUUGAUAAAUCUUCCUUUUAAUAGCUUCUCAACUUCUAUCUAGAUAAUUUUUUGAUGAUCCAACUAGAAACGUCAGACUUUAUAUUGUAUGGGUCGUGCUGUAGGAAGAAGGUUCAACUUAUGAGAGCUCACCGCUAGGUCUAUUCCAAGCAUUUCCGAAUGAAUCCACACGAGGAUAUCCUUGUUUUUACAAAGCAUUUCACCAACAUUACCACAUUCAUCCCUAGUUAGCAAAAAAUUAGCGUAAGUCAUCUGCUUAUUAUUUUUCGACAAAGAUAGCUAUUGUAAUAGGCUGAUUGCCAAUGAGUCUCUAUCCUCUAGUUUUCCUUCGACCUAAUUCUAUAAUUGUUAUUAGCUCUCUCUUGAUGAUUUGAGUUCAUCUUUAGUUGGGCCUGAACUCCAUCGCCACUUAGUAACACUACUAGGUGGCUAAUUGGAUUCCAUGUGGAUCCACUUACCCAAAUUCUGUCAGGUAGCUCACCAUCUUAUGAUAGGUGGAUGGAAUAACUUUCAUCUUAUGUAGGUACGACAACCUUAUGAUGGUGUUGUACGACGGUAAAUCCUCUACUAUAGAAAAUCAUACGUUGAGAGUAGGCGGGUUGGCUUGGACAAGAAGUACCACGUCGCAUAGUGAUAUUGUGGCAACCCUAUUAAACCCAAACAAAAGUCGAACUAGAUUUUCUAAGGCAGAUGACGAACAUCCCAUUUUCCUGUAGGUUGACAUAUGCAAUAAAUUGGAAUGAUCAUUUUAGGAAGGAUCACUUGAUUAAUGUUAAUUGAAGGGAAAGUGAUUGGGUCAUUGACUGGUCGGGCACUUUCGACAGUAAAUGUGCACUGAACUGCACUUACUCUUUCCCUCCCUGUAGUCGCACAGAGCAUUCGUCUCCUUUGUUGUUUGGAGUGAUAUUUGUCAUCUACUAUUUCCCCAUGGAUAUAGUUAAUCACUACUCGAUGUGUUGUGGGAGAGUCAGGAACUCACUCUGACACUUCACGUGUCAUUUCUUUAUGUCCACCAGUUGCUCAGACAUACAACUUGAGAUGUCCGGUAAUGAUUAGUUUCUCCACCAAGUAGUGCAAAUUUUUGCACUCUUCUGUGGUGUGCCCAUGCUCCUUAUGAUAGAAUCAUCGCAAUCCUCGAUCAUGCUUGGACGAAUCAGUUUUGAUGGGCUCUAGCCACUUGAACUCGAGCAGCUCUCAAAUCAAGAGGAGAAUUCUAUCAUAAAAAAUGGUCAACGGGGUGAGCCUAGGCGAUUAUCAUUGUUGUUGUCUUUCUUGUCCUUGAUUAGUCUAUCUAGACUGGCUUGAGGGCUUUAAGCUCUUAGCCUUCUUUUUUAAUUGCUCGGUUUAUAACCAGGAUUUGUUGAGAGGUUACCUAAACAUCCUCCUCAAGCAUGACAUGUUUGCCCACUCGUCUAAAUAGGUCAUUCAUUGUAGUGGGCAACUUUUUGGCCAUGGACUUGAAGAAUUGAGUGCUUGGACUGAUGAUCCAUUUGAAGAUCUGCAGGAUAGCAUCCAUGUUGUAAGAUUCCAUCUAGAACACCGCUUGUCUGAAUCACUUCAUGAAGUCCCUUAGCGAUUCAUUCUCCUACAUCUGAAUGUUCUAUAAGGUGCUUAUAUUCUGCUUUUGGCGAGCAAAACAUAAAUAAUGGCCCACAAAGGCCUCUAAAACAUCUGUCAUCUGUUGUUGGAAGUGCAUCAGGUGAACAAAAGAGUCACCAUCCCAUAGUAAAUAGUAAAUUUGGGCACCGGAAACCCCUGGGCAGCUCAUAACUAAUGAUAUGUGGGUCAAACGACAUGAAGAGCAUGUCAUCCAAUCAUCUACUUAUGGAGUCAAGAGGGGCUUUUGUCAAUGGGUUAUUUGUCGAUUGUAGUUCUAGUAUUGAACAUUAAGGCAGACGGCUUGGUGAUGCCUCAUCGUUUGAUUGGCCUAAUUGUGCUUUCAAGGCCUCCAAUAUGCAUGGCGAUGCUAGUGUUCUUCUCUCCUGAUACCCAAGAUAGGCUUUCAGGGCAUCUGAGAGACGUAAGCCCCAUUCUUAACCCAUUUUCCAUUUUUCUCCAAUAGAGCUUGCAACCUCUUUCGCUUGAGUUCGAUCGACUACUGAAUGCACUAGUUCAAGUAAUGUUAGCGAACUGCUAGUAGACAAUCCCUCAUCCACUGUUUGUAGAGACGACUUAGUGUAUCAUUGAAGAACUUUCAUUGUUUGGCUUCAAACUACUCUUGAAGUCGUCUAUUGGUUGGAGGUACGAUGACUUUUUUAUCAGCACCCCAUAGCCACUUGUGCUCGUAGCUCUUGGUUCUCUUGCUGUAGUUGUUCUGCCUGUUGGACAGGGACUACAUAGGUUAUUCAUAUUCUUCUUGCUUUUUUUCUAUCUUUCCUUGCCAAGCUUGGAAUCGCUCGUCAACAUUUGCAGAAUGAGUUGCAGGAGGCGUGUUAACCAUCGUGUUUUUUAGGCAUUUGUGGUUGAUUCCCAUAGACAAUGCCAAUGUUGGUGCACGACCAGUAAAAAAAGGUGUUUGGCUAGUCUCCAUGUAACAUAGAUGACGAUUGCACCUGCACAAAGGAAUGUCUGAAUGGGUUUUUCAGGUACACCUUUCCAAAGCUUAGGUCAGAAAUGGAAGACUUAAGCAAGAGUUUUUGUGGAAAAAUUGGUAGCAUACUUUUCUUGUGGUUAAGAAUAACUAUUUAUCUUUGUCCAACUAUAAUAUCUUCUCAGAUGCCUUAAUUGAGCCUUUGAUUGUGCAUUAUCAUCUUUAAUGUCAAUGAUAGCCAACCCAUAAUGGUUGUUGUGUCUUGAUGAACCUUAAAGGUUGGCGUUUUAACCUCAUAAUGAUUGCAUCCAUCAAUGCGUUAAUGCACUAAUUGCCUAUUGCAAUUAAUGCUUGUUGGGCAAGAAUGCAUAGUGCCCGAUUAGAUUGUGUUUGUUUGGUACCCUAAGAGUACCCUGGGGUGGACAAAAAAGCCACAUGGCUCUUGUUCUAACAUGUCUCGACUAGACAGUGUUUGAGGAUCAUGUUAGAUGGUGAUGAGCAUCCCACAGUGAAGACGUAUGAUGAAAGCAAAGGUAGGGCUUCUAAACCAAACGCUUUUAGGGAUUUUUUUUUUUUUUUCAACAAAGUUGACCUCUUCAAGGAAAAAAAAAAAGGUUAAAAAAACUAUUGCUUUUUUGGAUCCAAAUCACCAUUUCCAAUGUGAUAUUUGGAUUUCCACCAUGUAUUUUUUUUUUUUUUAACAGUCAAGGACAUUUUAUGGAUUAUUGAAAGAUAAUAUCUUUCAACUUAAUUUCCUACAUUAAUUAAGUCUUAGGCUCAAAUGUGAAACUUAAGUGGUUGUUAGGCCAUCAAACCCAUCUGCCCUAAAGUAUAAUUUCCCAUUUUCAAAAUAUAUAGUUGUUAAACAUCUAUCCCAAACUAUUGUAACCCUUUGAAGUGCUUGGUAUGUUAACCUUGUUUCCUUUUCCUUAUGCAACAUGGCUAAUUGAUUGUUGCAUUGAAUCAUUAUCAUUCACCAAAUCCAUUCAACUAUGGACUUACCUUUCAAAUCCCUCUAACAAAAAUGGUAAUUCCAAAACAACUCAAGUCUAAUGUUCUCAACUCUUUCAAAUGAUUUAAUUAAUUGGUGUUUGAAUAUACCUCUUAUAUUUUUUUAGAGCAAUUUUUAGGCACAUAACAUAAAUUUCUAAUUUUUUUUUAGAAAAGGUUUUAUAUUUUAUAUUUUAUAUUACAACUUCCCCUUUUUUUUCCAUCUAAAAAACAAAACAUAAAACCUUAAUAACCGAGUUUUGUCACAAACCCUUAACAAAUAAUCUAUUUUCCAAAAAUUACUUUAACAUCUUUAAACAUAUUGAUUUAGUAUACUUUACUUUUAAUAUUUUUUGAAAAAUAUUUUUAUUUUAUAUGAUUAUUAAUUAAUUAAGAUUGAUUGGGUAUGGUAGAAUAUAUAUUCCAAAAUACAUCGUAUUGAGAACAAUAUCACAAGAUAUUAUAUCCAUAUCUUAACAUAUUAUAUACUUUUAUUUUGUGCAAUUAGCAAUUGGACGGAAGGUAGGGAGCCGGCUUAAUGGAAAUGUCGCAUCUCACGUGUGUCCCUUCCCUUACCAAGUCUCAACAAAGGAUGAAAAUAUCGGUAAUCACGGAUAUAUCGGUACUUCGAUUUUACGGAUAUAUUAGAUAUAUCAGAGAUAUAUUGACGGAUAUUUUGGAAAAAAAUAUCGAUAAGCCUAAAAUUGAUCAAAAUUUAUAAAAAUAUAAAAAAAACUUCAUAAAAAUGUAAUUAAAAGAAGGUCGUAUAAGUUACUCAUGUUGAUCAUGUGAUAUAUCACGAGAUAUAAUCGAUUUUUGGGAAUUUCUCACGAAAAUAUCGCGACAUUUCUUCCUUGUCUCGACUGCUCCAAGAUUUCCUAUACGCCCUUCUUCGCUUAGCUCUUAAGUCUUUUCUUCUCCUCUUCCUCAAACCCAUCACAUUUCGCCGCGUGGAGCUAAGUCUCAAGGUCCUUUUGUUCGUACGAUGUAUGUUCCCCCAAUUCCUCAUCUACCUUGAAACUCCAUACUCGCCAUCUACUCAACCACUUCUCUACUCUAGAGUCUGGAUGCUUUAUCUCCGCGAGUGUCGAUGGCUCUUCACCCCAGCGAGUAUGGAAUUACAAGGGCAAUAUCGUCAUUAAAGACACAACAGGCAAACCAAUGGCAUUGUCUUCCUUUUGGUCUAUUUUAUUUAUGCUGUAAGUAUUCGUGCUUGACUUCUCCCGCGUCUCUUAUAAAAACUAAAGAAAACCACUCCAACAGAGCACACUUCAAGAAUCUUCUUUUUUUUUUUCUUUCCUCUUUCUCUUUACAUAUAUACUGAGAAAGCCCAGCUCAUCCCUCAAUUCCCAGAUGGGUUUUAUGAAUGUUCUCAAGUUCUCAGCUGCAUGCUUUGAUAUUCUUGCCUGGUAUGUUGUCCACGCAUUUUCUCGCCAUUGGAAAUUUUUGGAAAAUGAAGUGGAAUUCUCUGUUUGAGGACAAACAUGGGAUUUUCUUUGAUUUCUCCCUGUUGGUUUUAUCUAUAUUCUUUGGAUUACCCACAUUCUUGUCAUUGAUUGUUAGUCAUUUGUUUGGAUUUCUACUUGCAGGCCUCUAUUUGCACUGGGUUAUCCUCUGUAAGUCUUGGUCUUACACCUCAAGAUAUGAUGAUUCAUUUACUCUUUUCUUGUUCUACGAAUAGUUCAGUUACAUUUAUUGUGUUGGGAAACUGAAAAGGGAAAGGAUUAUUCUUUAUUAUCGUAAUAAUCAUCAACAUCAUCUCGGUUCUUCACAGAUGUUCUUCAAUUCGGGCAAUUGAGACUAACUCAAUCUCAGACUUUCGGAAGUUGGUGGCGUAUUGGGUUCUAUUUUCCUUGAUUUCACUCUUUGAUCAUGCUUUUUCCAAGCUCCUUGAAUGGUAAUUUUGCUCAACUGCGUUCCACUAUAUGUGACUCUGUUUGUUUCAUUUCUUUGCCCUUAAGGAAUUUGGAGUUGCUUUUUUCAGUUUUCUUUCCUAUGAAAAUAAUCGAGAUGUUUAAUGUUCCAGGCCUCCAUGUAUUUUAUAUUCCUUCAUUUCUCUGCUUUGACAAAUGCUCACAAUCUGAUCAGCAGAAAGGUUAUAACAUUUGAAAAAGAAGUGGUUUAUUUUUGUUUUUUUUAAGUACAAUAAUUUUCGUUUGGAUAAAUGGUCUGAAGGGUGUUUGUGUUUGGCUGAGUUCAUGGAAUUUUCAAGCUAAUUUGGGAUUUAUUCUCAAUUUCAAGAUCAUUGUGGAUAUGUCAGAAAUUAAUGAAAUAUAAAUGGUGGAAUGUGAUUUUCUUGUUUAAGAAAAGUUUUUCUUUGAAAAUGCGGGUGCACCAGACCUACCUUAUUGNNNNNNNNNNNNNNNNNNNNNNNNNNNNNNNNNNNNNNNNNNNNNNNNNNNAUCAGAUUCAACUGUGAUAGCCCGGAAUUUAAUUCAGUAUUCGACUCUUCUGGGAACAUGUUGGUUAUGGUUUCUCUCUCACUGUCCUCUUCUUUACACAUGACUUUUCAGUUGAGGAGCACAAAGCCUAAUGUUGAAGUGAAAGAGAUCAAAGCACCUGCAGCACCGGAGAAAAAAGGGGAACAGGUAAGUACUCUAAUGUGGCUAUUUAAUUUCUAUGGAGGCAGAUCCCCAGAGAAAUGCUGUUCAUGUAAAUUACUGAUGCAUUUGAUUCAAUGGCCACGGUUUUAAAAGAAAAACCACUUUAUGUAUGUUUCUGUGAAUGAGAGAACAAGUUUAUGGAUUAAAUGAUAUUUUUUAUGGUGAAAUAAUCAAUAAUUUUCAAAAUAAUAAUACAUUCCUGCAUGUUUUUGCAAUUCAUGAAUUCCUUUUAUGAUUGAUUCUUCUCACCUUUUUUCUCACCUCAGUGGAAGUGUGAAGAGCCUAAUGUUGCUCAAAAAGAGAUCCAAGUAGUCAAAGUAACAGAGAUAAAAAAUGGGGGGGAUGGAGCAAAGAGGGUAAGUUUUGCUUUUUAUUUAUAAAGUAGGCUGUCUUCACACAAGGAUUAUUAUUAUUAUUAUUGUUAUUAUUUUAAGACAUGAAUGUUGAAUGAUUUUGGAAUUGUCCUUGAAUCAUGUGAAGUGUGAAUGGUCUAAUGCUGCUAAGGAGGAGGUCAAAGUGACAGAAGUAACACAGAGAACAUUUGGUGGUACAGCACAGUGGGUAAGGUUUCAUGUCAUAUUUAAAUGGCUCCUCAUAUUUCACUAGGAUUAAUUUUGCCCCUACAAACUAUUUGGCUACAAGUUAAGACAGAGUUCCAGAUGCUGAUAAAGCUGAGACAUAAGUAAUGAACGAAUUUAGACACAUGCACAACUCUUGUGUGAAACACAAUGAGAGUGGAAAAUAGCUAAGUUGAAAAAUGGCCAAAUACUAUUUUGUAGUUCCCCCUACCACUUAAGUAAUUUUUGUCAUCCUUUGUGAAUGGAAAAUGCAGUCCCUUCAGUAAUUCCAUUAUAUUCAUGACUUGGUGAAGCAUAUAACCAUUAGUGUCUUACCCUAAGUCGACCUUUAAUGAUGAUCCAUUGAGAUGGGUCUGACUUUUGUCAACCCUCUUAUUCCCUUGAUCAUAGAGGUGAAACUUAGGGGGCUUAACCCACUUUUCAAUCUUAUUGGAUAUAUGGCACGUGGUAUCCUCUUCAUCUUGAAAGAGUGAAGUGGUCAUACUCUUUCCUCUGAGUCCAUUGUGGCCAUGCACUUCAGGCUCAUUGGGCUGAGUGAAAGGAUUCCCUUCUGCUUCAAAUCAUAGAGAGAUAUGCCAUGGUCAGCCUCUUUAAUUCAAGGGAUUGAAGUACUCAAAUCCAUUUCUCUGUAUCCAUCUUAGUUCUGCAUUCAUGUCUCAUGGUUAACCAAGAAGAUCCAGCCUCCAUCCAUGAGAUCAGCAUCUGCAGGUUUAUGACACCACCCUUCCUUUGCAUAGGAAAGGGAUCAUUAAGCCAUGUGUCGGAUGACAGAAGUCAUCAUUCAGGUUAUCUUGAGAACUAAGGAAGUUGGAAUUCUAAUUAUUGCAUAUGGUUCUUGAUGUUUAGCCAAUAUACUAUAGGAUUUUAAGCAUCAUGCUCACGUGCAUUGUGGUUGCUUAUCAGCUAUAUGGUUUGCCAAAAUGAGGGACUGAUUAUGGUCAUAAGUACCUUUUUCCCAUUAAUUUCUUGCAUGUGCUCUGCUGAGAUUAUGUUUUUGACAGUCCAAAUCAGGGCAAACCAACAAACAGCUUUAUGUUAACUUUUACAAACUGCCAUAUUUUCAGGUUAAACAAACAGAGAUAAAUCUUGGUGAAACUAGAAGUAAUACAACCUGUGCUGUGGAGAUAAAAGAAAGGGCAGCAGCACUGGUGGCUGCAGAAAUUGAGGCAUGUAGAGACGAUAGAACCCCCAAGAUACCUCUUCAUGAGAAAGUCCAGAAAGAGUGGGCUUGUGCUGUGUGCCAGUUCACAACCCAAACUGAAGCGACCUUCAAUUCCCACCUUCAAGGGAAGAGACAUCAGGCCAUUUCUGAGCAGCUGAGAGCCAAAAAUCAGGCAACCAAAACCAAUUGUUCCCCAUCUGCUUCAAUGGCCAAGAAAUCUGAUCAGUCCACCAAAGAGGAGCAACCGAAGUGUACUUCCAAUCUGAAUUCCAAAAACAAUGGAAUCUCAGCUGCUUCAACAGUGAAGAAACUUGAUGAGACCAAAGAUGAUGAGCAACAAAAGUCUGCAUCUAGCAAUGGACCGAACCAGAAGAAUAACAAAAAGCAAGAGGUACAGACCAAUGAGCAAGGCCGUCAGAAGAACUUAAGGCAAACUGGUGAUGGAAUGAAAGAGUUGAGAUCAUGGUGCAAUAUCUGUAAUGUAAGCUGCACAAGGGAGCUUGACCUGGCCUCGCAUCUCAAUGGAAGGAGGCACUUUGAUAGGAUAAAGCAGCUGUCUGAAUUAUGGUGCAGUAACUGCAAUGUAAGGUGCAACAGUGAGGUUGAUAUGGC
rnacentral:lncRNA from 1 species